rnacentral:rRNA from 1 species
AGUGAACGCUGGCGGCAGGCCUAACACAUGCAAGUCGAACGGCAGCACGAGAGAGCUUGCUCUCUUGGUGGCGAGUGGCGGACGGGUGAGUAAUACAUCGGAAUCUACCCUGUCGUGGGGGAUAACGUAGGGAAACUUACGCUAAUACCGCAUACGACCUACGGGUGAAAGCAGGGGAUCUUCGGACCUUGCGCGAUUGGAUGAGCCGAUGUCGGAUUAGCUAGUUGGCGGGGUAAAGGCCCACCAAGGCGACGAUCCGUAGCUGGUCUGAGAGGAUGAUCAGCCACACUGGAACUGAGACACGGUCCAGACUCCUACGGGAGGCAGCAGUGGGGAAUAUUGGACAAUGGGCGCAAGCCUGAUCCAGCCAUGCCGCGUGGGUGAAGAAGGCCUUCGGGUUGUAAAGCCCUUUUGUUGGGAAAGAAAAGCAUUCGGUUAAUACCCGAGUGUUCUGACGGUACCCAAAGAAUAAGCACCGGCUACUUCGUGCCAGCAGCCGCAGUAACAC